GGGUCAGUAGGUUGGUCGUGCCACCGGUACGUACUGGUCUCACUGAUUCCUCCCUCCUGAAGAACCGUAAUGCCAUUAAUUUGGUGUUGCGGGGAAACAGGACUGUUACUUUGAAAAAAUUAGAGUGUUUAAAGCAAGCUAACGCUUGAAUACAUUAGCAUGGAAUAAUGAAAUAGGACGAUCGAUCCUAUUUUGUCGGUUUCUAGGAUUGACGUA
rnacentral:rRNA from 1 species